rnacentral:tRNA from 1 species
GGGCUGGUCGUCUAGCAUGGUUAGGAUACUACCCUUACGAGGUAGUGGUCGUGGGUUCAAAUCCCACCCGGCCCACCA